rnacentral:lncRNA from 1 species
ACUGUUGAAUCUCGGAUUUUGAUGAUAUAAUCAAUUGGUGGGUUAAUUGAUCUAAUCCAUAUUAUUGAGUUAAGUGUGCAGGAUUAACUACGAUAACCAGCAAACAUAAAGCAAGGAUACCGGAGUCGAGCUCGAUGGACGUUUAAGAGACCGAAGAAUCAUCGGAGAUGCUGCCGGAACCAUCCGAGAAGAAAUCGGGAACGUGUCGGAAGUUCACCGAAGAAAUCGUCGGAGGCUCGCGGAGAUCACCGAUAAGGC